rnacentral:tRNA from 1 species
GAGCCUGUAGUUCAGCCUGGUAGAACGCUGCUCUGAUAAGGCAGAAGUCCACAGUUCAAAUCUGUGCAGGCUCA